GUCUUCAGCGUUCGGAUCGGCAACUUUAGAUGAAGGCGAAUAAAACUCGUAUCUUUUAUGCAAGACGGGUUGUCUUUCGAAUGGCAAAACCAUUUUAUUAAAUGCGACAAAAAAUAAGAUUUUAUUACUUUAUAUUCGUGUAGUAUUAUAAAAUGUUGCAAUUAUUGUAGUUCUAAUUCAGGUUGUUAUAGUAACCUGAAUGUUG